rnacentral:rRNA from 1 species
GAUGAACGCUGGCGGCGUGCUUAACACAUGCAAGUCGAACGGUGAAGCAGGAGCUUGCUCUCGUGGAUCAGUGGCGAACGGGUGAGUAACACGUGAGCAACCUGCCCCUGACUCUGGGAUAAGCGCUGGAAGCGGCGUCUAAUACUGGAUAUGUGAUGUGACCGCAUGGUCUGCAUCUGGAAAGAAUUUCGGUUGGGGAUGGGCUCGCGGCCUAUCAGCUUGUUGGUGAGGUAAUGGCUCACCAAGGCGUCGACGGGUAGCCGGCCUGAGAGGGUGACCGGCCACACCGGGACUGAGACACGGCCCAGACUCCUACGGGAGGCAGCAGUGGGGAAUAUUGCACAAUGGGCGGAAGCCUGAUGCAGCAACGCCGCGUGAGGGAUGACGGCCUUCGGGUUGUAAACCUCUUUUAGCAGGGAAGAAGCGAAAGUGACGGUACCUGCAGAAAAAGCACCGGCUAACUACGUGCCAGCCGCCGCCGUAA